GAUGAACGCUGGCGGCGUGCCUAAUACAUGCAAGUCGAGCGAACGGACGAGAAGCUUGCUUCUCUGAUGUUAGCGGCGGACGGGUGAGUAACACGUGGAUAACCUACCUAUAGGACUGGGAUAACUUCGGGAAACCGGAGCUAAUACCGGAUAAUAUUUUGAACCGCAUGGUUCAAAAGUGAAAGACGGUCUUGCUGUCACUUAUAGAUGGAUCCGCGCUGCAUUAGCUAGUUGGUAAGGUAACGGCUUACCAAGGCAACGAUGCAUAGCCGACCUGAGAGGGUGAUCGGCCACACUGGAACUGAGACACGGUCCAGACUCCUGCGGGAGGCAGCAGUAGGGAAUCUUACGCAAUGGGCGAAAGCCUGACGGAGCAACGCCGCGUGAGUGAUGAAGGUCUUCGGAUCGUAAAACUCUGUUAUUAGGGAAGAACAUAUGUGUAAGUAACUGUGCACAUCUUGACGGUACCUAAUCAGAAAGCCCCGGCUAACUACGUG
rnacentral:rRNA from 1 species